ACAAUGUGCAGACAUGUGGACCACUCAAAGCUGCGACAGAGGCAGCGGCAGCACUACCUAAAUGUCAAUUCUGCUCAGAGGUUGGACAUGUGGUACCAAACUGUGUGGACUUGAGAGCGGUGAUGACAAAUGCUCCGAGAAAUGCCCAAGCAAUGGAACUCAACCUCUAGGAAAAAAUGCUCCAAAGAAAUGCUCCAUAAAGAUGUUUUCCAUUUUCUUUUGAGCCUCACAUUGUGCUUGAUUAAAAAACAUUCAUAGUUUCUAUUUUGCAACAUUGAUGAUGCAUUUAAUAUAUAUUUCCAUUUUGCAAAAACUAUGUUACGGGAAAACAGAGGAAAUAAAAAGAUCUCAUAUUCUUAUGUGUGCCUGAAAUUGAUACCUAUGUGUGCCUGAAAACAGAGGAAAACAAAGCACUAUCCUGCAAGAAAACAGACAAGAAUGGCUCACAUUUUGUAUCUUGAAAUAGUUUUGAAUUUGUUGUUUUCUUUAUUUUGUCCCCCUUACAAUAUUUUUGUUUUCAUGUUACGACAAAACAUGUUUCCAGUACUUGAAACAUCUUGUGUUUUGAACAGUUUUUUGAGGUCUGGUCCAGAACAUGAAUGAUGCUUUCAGGAAAUGUUGACAUAUUCCCAGUAUUGCUAAGCACAUUUUGUCCCCCCUCCAGUAAUUUACAUACAUACAUGAUGAUGCAAGAUGGUUUCAGUUAAAAAAUGAACUGUUUCAGCAAUAUAAUCCCAGUAAAUAUACAUGGCACAUGAAGUAUGAUUUCACUGUUUCAGCACAGAAAAAAACAAUGAAAACAAAAAUAUACCAAGCUGCAAAAAAGGCCUGUCAUUUUCAUUACCAACUCUCCAUCAAUCUCUAGUUCACAUUCACAUGGGUCAGCAUGGAUAAUGCUCCAGCAUUUCAAAACAAACUAAAAAAAAAAGGAAAAAUGGACAUGCCCAGCAUGAUAGAUGCUCCAAUCUUGAGUUCAACAAAAAACAUCUAGAUAGCUCCGGCAUGAUACUUGCUGUUUUCAGUUACAUAAAUGGAUGUUUUGGACACAUGGACUCACAAAAUAAAAAAAAAUUGAAACUAAGCUAGCGAGCUCCUGUUCCAAUUGUCAUCUUCUACGAGCUUCUCAGCAGUUUAUGGAACUCUUCGGCUGAGUUGAGAGUGUUUUGAGGGUGCUUGAAAAGCUUCGGUGCUACGAAUGUUCGGAAAUUGAGCAACGGCCUCGUGUCCUGAGCAUAUAAAAAUCAGAAAUACAAAAAAAAGGAAAAUAUUAAUAUUUUGUGCACCCGCUUUGCCGACCAACGAGUUUGGAAGAUAGGCAUGCUGCGAAACAAGAGCAAAAACGGAAACAUGGAAACUAUCAGCAAUGCAUAUCUACUUAUCAGAGAAUGAAAAGUAUUGAAUCAAAAGUUGAGGAUUGCAUAUAUAACUGCAGAUAAAAUGCAGGUUUGAAAGAACAUUAGCUAAUCCAACUAAUUUCAGAUAAACAUGAGCUAAAAAUUCAUGGAACAGUAGCUAAAUUUCAGAGAAAAGAUAUAUGUAGUUUCAGAAGCAAAAACUGAGUUCCCUGUGCUAUAAUCUAGCAGUACAAACAUUCCUGUAGUUUCAGAAACAUAAGCUACAGACAUAACCUACAUACUAGUUUAAGAAAGGUAAGUUUCUCUGAAAUUUAGCUACUGUUUCUCUGAAAUUACAUAUAUGUUUCCUUCCCUUCUCCGAAACUAUAUAUAUGUUUCUCUGAAACUACAAACUGGAUAACUGCAUGAGCUACAGAAGCUUUGAACUAAAAAGAAAAAUCCUGCAUCACUAGUUUCCUGUAGCACAUCAAGUCUGUACCACUAAUUCCCUACAACACAUCAAAAUCCUGCAGCACUAACUUCCAGAUAAAAAAUGCUACAAAAGUUUUGAGCUACAAACAUUCAGAAAAGGAUAGCAUCAGCUACAUCAUGUCAAGGGGAUAGCAUGAGCUCCAGCAGCGUAUUCUGAAAGUCAAAUCAACAAUUCUGCAACACUGGAUCUGCAACAUCCAAAUCCCUAUUGCACAUCUACGCCACCUAUAUCAUCUACAUCAUCCACCUCGGCGCCAACGACGAGAGCAUCACAACAUAAACUAUAAGCGUCAGAAAAAAUAAAACAAAGGGAUCCUACAGAAACUGCGUGCUCUGAAAAUUCAGAAACACACAAAUGGGAUCCAGUGCACAAAUUUUCAGCAGAAGGGGAUCCAGUGCACAAAUUUGUAUCACAACAUAAACUAUGAGCUUCAGAAAAAUGAAACAAGGGGAUCCUACAGAAACUGCACGCUCCAGAAAUUUAGAAACACACCUAUGAGUUUCGAGAACUAUGCGCUCCAGUGCACAAAUUUUCAGCAGCAUAAAAACUAAAAAAAAUACGAUCCUGAAACUCGUUGUCGCGCCGUCGAACUACCUACAACGCCGCCGAACUACCUACAACCGCUCUGCUCCUUGUCGCGCCAUCGUCUCCGUCACGGUGAUAUGCCAUUUAUUUUCUUUGAGGAAAAUGAACUAUGAAGGUAGCUAAAACUAACUAAACGUGACUUAUGGACGCCACUUAUUUACCAUUUACAUCCCACCUCCUCCCAGCGAAUCGUUCACCAACUAAGAGGGGUCCUAUUUCGGUUAUGUUUUGUUUAUUUUAACAGUUCCCUAGUAAAAAAUCAAACAACUUGCAUCCAAAUUGCCAAGAUCUAGAGUUGAUUCUAAGAAAAACCUCCGAACUAGGUGAGAGCACGCCCGCUAAUUUGCAGCAGCAAAUAACUGAACUACCUUUUCACCAACCUAACACACAUAUCCAAUGCAACAAAUGAACAAGUUCGCUCGUUUAUGCUUCCAUCUCAGCCAACAAAACCAGACGAACAAGAUGCUCCAAAUCAACAGUCCAGUUCAUCAGGACGCCAACAGAAUGCCUUCCAGUAGAACAGCAGCCGCAACAGAAUCACAUCAACAGUUGAGGAACACAAUCCAUCCGCACAAGGAAACCUACAAUUCUGACGCCAUUUCUUUCCUUCGGGAAAAUGUAUGCUCAAGAAAUCGAACAGGGAAACAAAAUCAACCAGUGCAGGAAAAUCCGCGCUAAUUUCCGUCCGCCGCCCGUCUUCUGGAGCAUUUUGUUCGAGGGGAGCGGGGGGUUGUCCGAUCCAUACCUGUCGGCCACCGCCGAACCCGUCGUCGUCGUUGCCA
rnacentral:lncRNA from 1 species